rnacentral:rRNA from 1 species
GUCGAGAAUAAUUCACAAUGGACGAAAGUCUGAUGGUGCAACGCCGCGUGGAGGAUGAAGGUCUUCGGAUUGUAAACUCCUGUCAUCGGGGAGUAAGACCUGGCGGUAAAUAGCCGACAGGGUUGAUAGUACCCGAAGAGGAAGGGACGGCUAACUUCGUGCCAGCAGCCGCGGUAAUACGAAGGUCCCAAGCGUUGUUCGGAAUCACUGGGCGUAAAGGGAGCGUAGGCGGCGGGGUAAGUCAGAUGUGAAAUCCCGGGGCUCAACCCCGGAACUGCAUCCGUUACUGCCAUGCUUGAGGGUUGGAGAAGUAGCUGGAAUUCUCGGUGUAGCAGUGAAAUGCGUGGAUAUCGAGAGGAACACUCGUGGCGAAGGCGAGCUACUGGACAACAUCUGACGCUGAGGCUCGAAGGCCAGGGGAGCAAAAGGGAUUAGAAACCCGUGUAGUCC